rnacentral:rRNA from 1 species
UGGGGAAUAUUGGACAAUGGGCGCAAGCCUGAUCCAGCCAUGCCGCGGGAGUGAUGAAGGCCCUAGGGGUGUAAAGCUCUUUCACCGGGGAAGAUAAUGACGGUAACCGGAGAAGAAGCCCCGGCUAACUUCGUGCCAGCAGCCGCGGUAAUACGAAGGGGGCUAGCGUUGUUCGGAUUUACUGGGCGUAAAGCGCACGUAGGCGGACUAUUAAGUCAGGGGUGAAAUCCCGGGGCUCAACCCCGGAACUGCCUUUGAUACUGGUAGUCUUGAGUUCGAGAGAGGUGAGUGGAAUUCCGAGUGUAGAGGUGAAAUUCGUAGAUAUUCGGAGGAACACCAGUGGCGAAGGCGGCUCACUGGCUCGAUACUGACGCUGAGGUGCGAAAGCGUGGGGAGCAAACAGG